UCAACUUACACUACAAAUUAACAAAAAUGAUCUUCUUUUUUCUUUCUUUUUAUUGUUUUUUUCUGUUUUUUUUUCAAUAGCAAUGUUUUUUUCUUUACCACUAUAGUCUAUAUGUCAGAAUACACAUUGCCCACCUUGCCCAACAGUAGAAAAACAUAAGAAGAGAAAAACAUUAAAAAAUGACAAGGAAGUUAAUGGAAGUCAGCAAUGUGAUGGUGUUUGGAGGUGGAGCCUUCAGAAGGUAAUUAAUGCCCUUGUAAGAAGAGGCCAGAGAGCUUGAGCACCUUCUUCCUGCCAUGUGAGGAGCCAAGAAGCCGGCUGUCUGCAACCUGCAAGAGGACCCUCACUAGAAGCUAGCCAUACUGGCACCCUCAUCUUGGCUUUCCAACUUCCAGAACUCAAGACCAGACUUUGCCCUUCCUCCUCUCAGCCUACUCAAUGUGAAUAUAAUGAGGAUGAAGACCUUUGUAAUGACCUUUUCCCACAUAAUGAAUAAGUACCUACCACCCUAAAUUCAAGGGAUAGAAGGAAGGAAAGAAGAAAGGGAGACAGGCUGGGAAGGAAUCACCUCACUUGCCCAGAAGUUAUUAUACUGUCUUCUUCUGCUGUCAGGUAGAUGCUUAAACAUGGAUAUGUUUACUUUAAGUGGA